GACGAACGCUGGCGGCGUGCUUAACACAUGCAAGUCGAACGGGAUUUAGUAAACGGAAGCCUCGGUGGAAGAUUACUAAUGAGAGUGGCGAACGGGUGAGUAGCGCGUGAGCAACCUGCCUAUGACAGUGGGAUAGCCUCGGGAAACCGGGAUUAAUACCGCAUAAAAUCGUAGAAACACAUGUUUCAACGGUCAAAGAUUUAUCGGUCAUAGAUGGGCUCGCGUCUGAUUAGCUAGUUGGUGAGAUAACAGCCCACCAAGGCGACGAUCAGUAGCCGGUCUGAGAGGAUGAACGGCCACAUUGGAACUGAGACACGGUCCAAACUCCUACGGGAGGCAGCAGUGGGGAAUAUUGCACAAUGGGGGAAACCCUGAUGCAGCGACGCCGCGUGAACGAAGAAGGUAUUCGUAUCGUAAAGUUCUGUCCUAUGGGAAGAUAAUGACAGUACCAUAGAAGAAGGCUCCGGCUAAAUACGUG
rnacentral:rRNA from 1 species